rnacentral:lncRNA from 1 species
CCAUCCAAAAACUCCUGGUAUCACUCAGCUUCCCCCAGCUCUUCAGCACAGUAUCAAACGGCGGGCGAUUGAGAGAUUCAAAAACUCCCCGUUCCACUACGGAAGCAGUCCCUACAGUCUCAAGGUGGAGCUUAACAAGCUGCUCCAGGGGUCUCCAGAGCUAAUGGUGUCAGACUCUGCCAGCUCAGACUGGUGGUCUCUGGUCCAGUCUUUUGGAGGAGACCAUCUAGGUGCUGCCAAGCAAGGUGAUAUGGAAAAUGGGAAUCAGCUAUGAGCAGAUGCAGGCCAUUAUAGAGGAGGUUCUGGAGGAGAAUGGAUACUACAACGCAAUGACGAAUGACCAGGGUGCAACAGGGACAAACAAGUGACCUCCAUCCUUAUAUAUCAUGUCUUUAUUAGCAUUUGCUAGUGUUUUCCAGUCACACUGUCGAAAUGGGCUAGCACUACAUUUCUUUGAGAGGCUGAUUACCUUGUGAAGGAAGUAGAUCAAUGAUACACAGUCUGCAUAAAGGGGAAGUGUUUCACGACAGGCUCAAACAGAGACAAAUAGGGUCAGAGUACUGAUUUCGGGUCAAAGAAAGCA